GGGCAAAGGCCUCCAGGUCCGUCCCCGUGUGUGCGCUGUGGGCCGGGGGGCGGCGAGGCCCCGGGAGCCCUGUCCAGGAGUUCCCCACCCCCCCCCCGCCCCCCGCCAGGCUCCCUGCCCUCUGCUCGCCCCGUCUGGUGCCCCCUCUGCAAAGCUUGAGACCCCGUCAGAGGCGACAAUGGCCCCCAGCCUUAGAGCUGACGGGGAGACACCCUCGGCACCGUGGGGACCAGGGGCUCCCGGGUACUGACAGGGUGGUGGCGGGCCAGCGCGGGGACCGGGCCUCCGGCCUCUGCUCACUGGUCUGGGGUCCGCCCGCCUGGCUCUCCGACCCUAGGAGCCCUCGCCCAGGACAGGAUGGGACGGGCUGGUUGCCCCCGCAGGCUGAGCAGCCUGGCUCCUGGGGGGGCAGUAACGGGGCAGAGGGGACUCGCUAUGCGGGGUAUGCUCAGUCCGGGGGAGCGUGUACUGGGAAAAGAGACGGCAGGGAUGUGACAGGAGGUGCGAGCCCCGGAGGGGACACCGGAGAGCCAGGGGCCGGACCCCGAGUCGCCGUCACCCGCAUGGGGCCCUGGGCCACGGGGCCAGCCAGGAGUCCGCAGCAGCAGGUGGGGGGCUCCGAACCCCUGGAAGGGCCCAGGGGGGAGGACACGUCCUCAAGGCAAAGCAGCCGCAGUGCCGAGCAUCUGCCCCGGGGCUCCGGCUGGGCGGGCGGCGGGCACGGCAUCCGCGGCCACGCUCCCUGCACCUGGCGCCCGCCGGGCACCUACACGCGGCCCUCCCCACGGGGCUGCAGCCCGGGCUGGGAGCAGGGGCUCCUGGGUGCAGGGGCUCCCGGGGGGAGGGUCGCGUGCGUUUUCUGGGCACAGCGGAGCUGCCGUGAAGGUUCCAGAGGCGGGGAGGGCGAGGAGCCGGGGAGGCGGACGAGCAGGACACACGCUCUCCCGGGAGCACACGCGUCCAUUUAAGGAAGGGGAGCUGGUCACACUCACCCCAGGCCCAGAUGCCGCGGCGAGGUCCCUUCCCCGCUGGCACCAGGAGGUCGCCCCGCGGCACGGGCACCGGGAGCAGCUCGGGACAUCGGCCUGGGCAGGGCUCACCCCCUCCGGGCCCAGGGCGCCCGCGCACACAAGGAGCGGAGGCAGCAGGCCAAGGAUAAAGAUCAGAGCUUCGUGGCAAGAACCGAAGACACCUCUGCUUUGCUCUGACGGGAGCUGCGCUCCACUUCCGCUGGACCCCGGCCGUCCGAGGGGGCCACGUGAUGACUGGGCCCCACUUAGUAGAACUGGGACGUUAUUUUGAGGAUUCUAUCUUAGCAUUUUAUUCUUCCCGGCGACUGUACGCAGUUAGCUACUUGGAAACAGGCUCUUCGUACACAGGGUAAUGAGGGGCGUACAUCGGGUCGCGGGAGAAGCCCCAGGACCUAGGACAUUUUGCUUCGGGAUUCCUGACAUGGAAAUUUCCAAUUCCAAGAAGAGACGUUGCUCUGAAAAAAUCAUACUCUCCUACCCCGCUGUCACUAGCGUUUGCACGAAGUCAAAAAUUAAGAAUCCCAGAGCACAGUGUUUAAACACGUUUCACGUACUAAAAGUUACAAUGGUGA